UUUUAAAUUUUAAAUUUUAAAUUUUAAAAAAAAUAUAAAUUUAAUAUUUUAAUUUAAAAUAUAAAUAUGAAAUUAUAAAUUUAAAAUAUAAAAUUUAAAUAUAAAUAUAUCUAUACUAUAUAUAAAAGCACAUAUUUCAAAUUUGGGUCUGUCGACAGACCCAUUUUUUAGCGGAAAAAUAUUGAUUCCUCUUUCCGUACGUAAAAUAAAUAACAUAAUGAAACAAACUUUUAAUUUCGGUUUAUCUCUAAAAUAGAAAAAAAAAUUAUACUUAUCCAAAUUUUUGCCAACCGAAAGAUAUCUACUGUGAAUCUAUAUUUUAAUUAAAAAAUUAUUUAAUUUUUUCUCUAAAAUAGAAAAAAAAAUUAUACUUAUCCAAAUUUUUGCCAGAAUAUCUACUGUAAAUCUAUAUUUCAAUUCAAAUUAAAAUUAAUUUAAAAUUUAAAAUUUAAAAUUAAUUUAAAAUU
rnacentral:lncRNA from 1 species